rnacentral:rRNA from 1 species
GGGGAAUAUUGCGCAAUGGGCGAAAGCCUGACGCAGCAACGCCGUGUGAGGGAUGAAGGUUUUCGGGNUUCUAAACCUCUGUCAGAAGGGAAGAAGUGGUGCGGGUCCAACAGGCCCGUAUCUUGACGGUACCUUCAAAAGGAAGCACCGGCUAACUCCGUGCCAGCAGCCGCGGUAAUACGGAGGGUGCAAGCGUUAUUCGGAAUUACUGGGCGUAAAGCGCACGUAGGCGGCCUUGUAAGUCAGGUGUGAAAUCCCACGGCUCAACCGUGGAACUGCACUUGAAACUGCGGGGCUCGAAUCCUGGAGAGGGCGGCGGAAUUCCUGGUGUAGGAGUGAAAUCCGUAGAUAUCAGGAGGAACACCGGUGGCGAAGGCGGCCGCCUGGACAGGUAUUGACGCUG